UGUGGAGGGGGGGGGGGGGGGGGGUUCGGCUUUGCAGAAGUGAUGAGAUUGCAGUGGUGAUAGGACAGUCUGGAAAAGCCCUCACUGGGAAGGUGAGGACUGAACAGAGCCCUGAAACCGUGGCAUUAGAAUUUUUUCCCAUCCUAUCAAACAGCAAGAUGCACCCCAUUAUCCUUUAUAAAAUUUUAUUCUCACCUACAACUCUGUGUUAGUUCCUGGGUUUUUAUAAGAUCAUUAUUGGUAUAUCUAUCUAGGGGUAACUUUUGAGAAUGACACCCAAAAUAAUCUAAAUCAUUCUGUUUUCUAAACUGGUUUGGCAAAAUCCAUAUUAAACAACAUAGGUGCCUCUUCAUUCUCAGAGUUUAGUUCAUUUUAAAUUUUUUCUUGUGAAAUCUGUAUAUGUCUCAAAAAUACUUGAUAACCGCUUUUCAGUAGAAGUUAUGGCCUUAAACAUUUCUGUAAAGCUGAAAGGAAAUGCCAUUUAUGAUUUAUCAAUGGGAAACAAGCUAUAAAUUUUGAGUUACUCCAGAAACAAAAGGGGUGAAAUUUAUGGCCUAGUGCUAUAUGCUUUAAUUCUUAACUCACGAGCAAAAGUUUCUUGAAAAACACCAAUAUCUAAAUAGUAAAAGAAACUUUUUUCACAAAGGAGGAAACCCUUCCUUCUCCUACCUCAUUUCAAGAUCCACAAAAUUUAAAUUUGUGAUGAAGGGCAAAUAGUAUAAUUGAGUUAAUUUGAUAAGAUAGAGACUUGCAACUUUUUAUUUAUUGGAGCAUCAUCUUACGGUAUUUGCUGUUGCUGUUGAUCGGUUUCUUCCGUCCGGGCAGGCACCUGGGGCAUGAAAUUUUGAAAGAAAAUGUAAACUAUUAGCUUUUCCUCUUUUCUUAAUUUAAAAUACAAUUCUAAGUGAUUUUAAAGACACUUUCCUUUGGAAAUUUUGCAUUUCGUUUCUAUUCUGACUCUGAUGAGUUGUUUUUUUGUUUUUGUUUUUUUUACAUUUUAUUUUGCUUUAGAAAAAACUUAAGGUACCUGAAUAGGUUUCCCCAACAUGAGAAAAAUGGUCAUGUAAGUUUAGAAGAAAUAUUUGUGUACAUCCUUUGGUCUCGGCCUGAAGAUUAAACAUUAUUUACUGGGCAUGUCUCUUAAACCUACCUCAUUGGAAUUUGGAAGAAUAUUCCAAUAGUAAUGAUAAAUAAGCCUCAAACUUAAUUUGCAACGAAUUAGCCAUAUUUUUAUUCCACUUGAAAUACCGGAGACUUGGGGCAAGAUUUAGUUAUGCUUUUCUAUUUAAUAAUACUCCAUUAAAUGUGACCUGUAGAGAUUACGAAGCUUAUCAAAAAUAUAGUCUAUAAAAAUACCCUAAGUAUGAUGAUGCUUUUUAUGUAUUAAAACUGAGCUCAAGUAGUCCAAGCAACUGAUACUGGGAUACCUCGUGACCUGUAAGUUAGGAAAAAUAACAGAUGAGAGUCAUGUUUAUGCUUCUCUUUUCAAUUAUAAUCAUGUUUUUGAAAUUACAGAUCUCCUAAUUUUCCAAUCCUUAUCUGUAAGGAAGACCAAUGUAUAUAAGUUUUACGGGUGGAUGUGAAAAUUAGCAAACUAUUUCAUUUUAUUCAAUAUUUUCAUGAAGAUAUCAUUAGCAGGGCAGCUCAACAUUUUACAUGGUUAUCUUCAACAAGGGAACUGUAAGUGUUCUUUAAGUCAUUAAUUAGCUAAUCCUUAUUUUACUGCGUAUAGCCAUCACAAUUCAUAUGAAUAAUGCAUGGGCUUCUCAGAAUUAUUAGUACUGUACAUCAAAUGAAUGUUUGAAAGGGGAAAUAACUCUUAGUCUUUGGUAAAAGAGUAGGCAUAAAUUAAAUUUCCCGUUUGCCAGACUCAGCAGACACCAUUUCAUGUGUUGAGUUGUCCUUGGAGAAGACUGAGGCCAUUGUUUCCAUUAACAACAACAACAACAACAAAAAAUCCAAUAAUGUUAAAACAAAAAUACCACUAUAAACAUGAUCAACUGAGGUAAAAUCCCUGCGAGGAGGUACUUGAAAAUCUCAAGCAACUUGAAUCUUCCUCAAGAAAGUUCAACACAGCUCUCUCAGAAAACCUGGAGAUGCAUGUCUAAAAUUCAUAGGAGUUCUGUGAUAAGUCACCUACCUAGAGACCAAAAUAACAGAACAGAGAGAAAGGAAGCUGAGGUAAGAAAGGGAGGAAAAGGGAAGAAAAGAGCCCUGGGGGGGAGCUCAUGCUAACUCUUAGUACUGGAGGACUUGUAGGAAAAUACUUGGUGCCCGUCUCUUGUGCCCAACACUGUAGUAGACGUUUCCUAUGCCUUACCCACCCUUCAAGGUGUGUAGUUUCAUCCCAAUUUGUGCACAAAAACUGAAAGUGUUCAAGCUGCCCAGGCCUCACAACCAGUAAGUAGGGAACUGAAUUUGAACCCGGGUUCAAAUUUUUACCAUACUAUGAUACCACCUCUUAACUAAAAUCAAAUUCACAAAGCAAACCAAAAACAAAAGCGUGAACAACCGGUCGUAAUGGAGUCAUGCCUGUAUCCUUUAUUACUGACAGAAGAAAAGCAAAUUUGAGUACAAGGUUUUAAGUCCUGCAAGAUGAACAAAGAAGAGAAAUACUUAACCGCUGUUCGCGCCAUGAAAGAGAAACAACUCAAUCUUGCAAAGUUCUUGGGAGGUAAGAUGGUAAGGUGUUGGCACAUAUGUUUGUAUCAAGACUCAGAAUGAGAGCAAAGUUUGCUGUUUUGGUCUUUAGAUCUGUUGAAUGAACUUGUACCUUAUUUUCAACUGAACUUCAAAUACACUGUUGUUUAAAGCAAUUGGUUCCCGUUAAGCAGUCCAUCUAGCCAUCUAUCAGGUGCAUCUGUAUAUGCCGCAUGCCUGGUAUCUAGUUGGAAUUAUGGUGGUGUGGAAUCAGAACAGGUCAUUUAGAUUUCAGAUUGGGAAACAGAGUUUACGCAGAGGGCAAAGCAAGCAGGGUGGCUUGUUGUGGGAACAAACCUGGCCGUUGAGGAAGCUGUAAGAAGAGAAAAGCUAGAACAGGGAGAGGGACAUGGAGAGGCGUGGAAGACAAAACUUGGAGAAGUAGGUGGGGAAGCUUCUGAUUCCUCUCAAGCCCAUUUCUUCUGUGAACAGCAACUAAACAUUUCUGGACCACACACAAAAAAGCAAAUACCUAAGAACUCAGACGGAUUGUGAAGGAGACUCAGAACUUGGAAAAGCAGCCUCUAUGAGGAUGCUUCCCUUCCCUUUUUCUUUUUCUUUCUCUUUUCUCUUACAGGUUUGCGCCAGGGGUCAGCCCCACUUAUGGAGAUGUAUAGCAGUGGAGGUUUACUCUGGAUUUUCUAUGCAAGAAAUCCAGCUGCCAGUCCAAAGAGCCAGGAGAAGUCUCUCCUGUUGGCCAAAGAGCAUGGAGUGGGGGGAAUGGGAAAGUCCUUAAGAGGGGAGAGCUGGAAAGGGGGACCCUCUCUCACUGUGUGUAUGACUUUCCACAUGUCCUGGGCUCACUCCUGAGCUGGUGUGCACAAGGCAGACCCAAGGAACUCUGGCAAAGGCGACAAGAAAUGAAAAUGAGAUCAAAACUACUGUUCGUAGAAAGUAACACAGGAUUUGCAAUCUGAGCCUAAUUGGGUUGAUUGCCUGCUUAAACAAACAAAAUAUUUCUCAGACAAUUUUAGUAAGACCCAGAGUUGACACAGCCCAGUAUCCAAAAUUGCUUAAGUAGGAAGACCAGGAUAAUGUGACCAAUUUCCAAGGAAAAAGUCAAUCAAGAGAUGCCAGCCUCGAGAUAAACCAGAUGUUAGAAUUAUCAGACAUAAAAGCAACUGUUAUAAUUAUGGCCCAUGAGAUGGAAGAUAAACACACUUGAACAGAAAGAUAGAAGUUCUCAGCAGAGAAAUUGUAAAAAAGAAUCACAUGGAAAUUCUAUAGCAAAAGAUACAAUAUCUGAACUUAAAAACGACUAGAUGGGCAAUAGAAAAAUGGAAAUGAAAGAGUCAGCAAAUUUGAAAGUAAAUUAGUAAGUGUCCAACUUUAAUGAUGCCUUUAAAGUCUUAAAGGUGGAUGAGGCUUUGAAAAGCAAAAUGUAUCUGACUGUAAUUAGCUACAGGGAGCCCCAAUAAGAUAUUAAUCCAAGUACAUUCUUGUGGCUUCCUGAGAUACAUAUGAAGAAAUUCCUGCUGUUUGUCAAUUACGUUGAGUAAGGAAUUAGCAUUAUCAUAGGCCCAACUGUAAUGAUUAUGCAAAUUUUCUACUACAGCGUCUUACACAGGCUUACUAUGUAGAAAACAUGUCACAUAUGUUCUGCGACUUACAAUGUCCAAGGUGAUGCAUGCAUUGACAAAGAAAAGUUUCCCAGUCGGCUCCAUUAAGUUGUGUACCUGCAGUCAAAGCAGUUUUGAAACAUAGGAGUGUCAUCACUAGGUAAUUGCCAAGCUCAUCAUCAGAGUCAGCGCCUGGGAAAUUGAUUGGCUCGCCUGCUCAUGUUAACUCUUUGAUUCAGCUUUUGUAAUAGGACCUCUCCCUAAAUAUAGAUGUUAUUACAGUGAUGCUGUAUGAAAAUUGACCUAUCUUGUAGGCACAAUACAUGCUUUUCAAUUUUAUAACAAAAAAAAAAAAUGCUGUUAGUACUUAGGAAUCUGUUAUGAGAAAUCAUUAAGGUGAAUUGGGAGUAAGAUUGAACUGGUAUAUUAUGUUUGGAAAAAUGACUUCCUGCUGAAGGAAGAGAAUUUCAAGGCUUUAGAAUACCUCCCAUUGUUACAUUAGCACCAUAUUGCUCUUAAGAGGUAGUGUAAAUUCUUGUAAUGCUGGUGAUAAUUCUGGAUUUAAGAGUUUAACAAGUGUUGCCAUUUAAUUCUUAUAAGAUAGGAAGCACAGUUAUAUCCAUCUUAUGCGUUAGGAAUCGAGGUAUAGAAACGUUCAGUAACCGUUGAGCCUAGAAAAACUAGUAAGUGGCAGAGCCAGGACUGAAGUUCAGGUCAGCCCGAUCGCCAAGCCUAAGCCACUAACCACGUGUUACAUAUGUUACUUCCUAUAGCAACUAAAGGAGAAAUUUCAUGUUUCGUUUUUUUUUUUAAGUUUGUGUGUGAGAGAGAACGAGCAUGAGCAGGGGAGGGGCAAAGAGAGAGGGAGAGAAUCCCAAGCAGGCUCCACACUGUCAGCGCAGAGCCUGAUGCAGGGCUUGAUCCCACGAACCACGAGAUCACGACGUGAGCAGAAACCAAGAGUCGAAUGCUUGACCAACUGAGCCACCCAGGCGCCGCUCAGGUUAUUUUAAAAGGGCAUAGCCUUCAAGCCACAAAGGGUAGAAUAGUAGUCAAAGCAGUGGUUCUCGCGUUUUUUGGUCUCAGGAUUCUUCUUUUUUGGCCGCAAAGAGGGUUUAUUAAAAAUAUGGAAUGCUUCACGAAUUUGCGUGCCAUCCCUGUGCAGGGGCCAUGCUAAUCUUUCUGUAUCGUUCCAAUUUUAGUAUAUGUGUUGCCAAAGCGAGCACAGUCUCAGGAUUCUUUUAAACUCCUGAAAUUUCUUGAGGACCUCAAAGAGCUUUUGUUCAUGUGGGUUAUUUAUACUUACUGAUAUUUUACUCUAUUUGAAAUUAAAUCUGUGACAUUAUUACCUGAGAAAUAUUUAUUAAUUAAAAAUAACAAUAAACUCAGUACGUAUUAACAUAAAUAACAUUUUUUAAUGAAGAUAAUUAUGCUUUCCAAAACAAAACUUUGGUGAUGAGGAUGACUUCUUUAAAAAGAAAAUACAUUUCUUCCCCAAGUAUCUAUUAAUACUUGGCUUAAUAGAAAACAGCUGGAUUUUCACAUAUGCUUCUGCAUUUAAUCAGUUGUGAUAUGUUGUUUUGGUUGUAGUAUAUAAAGAAAAUAGAGCUUCUGUACACAGAUAUGUAGUUAGAAAGGGAGAAGUAUUUUAAGAGCCUUUUCAGAUAGUUGUAGGUAUUCUUACCUGAUAUCAUCAAACUCAAGUUGUAAUUUUUAAAAAGGUUGUUGCAGUGUGGGAUUGGGAAACCUCAUCGAACUUUUUGUGCUCUGUUUAAUUCAAACCUGUUGCUUUUAUCUUGUUCUUUGAAUGGUCUUUUACUCAUGUAUAAUUUUGUAACAUCAUGCAUGGAUUAUUUGGAACAUAUUGGCUCACUGAUUUGUAUAGAUCUUCCAAAUGUGGACACAUUUCAUUGUAAAUGUAAAAAAGGGAAAAGCACAUAUGCUAAUAUCAUCUUGAGCUCAGCAGAAAAGUCUUUAAAUACUGGGAAGCCAUCAAGUUCAUAGUAGCAGAAACAAGUUAUUUAAAAUAUUUAUUUUUACUUGAAAGCUUGAAUUUUAUCACCAAAAAUACAUACUGUUAAUUGUUUUUCCAAAAGGGUCUCGGUAUCCCACUGGGGCCAUAGGCCACACUUUGAGGGUCACUGGCAUAAGAGCUUAGAUUGGGAGAAGCAAGUUAGAAAACAUUUGUCUAAAGGACCAAACAAAUUAAUUUUCAGGAUGCUGAAGGAACUUGAAGACGAGGUCUCAGAAUCACUAGCAGUGGGGGAGUGGGAGAGAGUUCAGACAUGUAAGAAUGAGAAAAGACUGCCUUGCCUCUCCAGAGGGAUGUAUUCUGGGUAACUCUGAUUCCCAGAAAAAGACUACGGGAUCUUCCGUAGCAGGUAGCUUAACAUUACAAAAUAAUUCUGUGAUUGCCAGAUGUGGUGAAGGCUAGGAGGUCAUCUCAAAUAUCGUUUUUUCUUUCUGAUCAUGUGACACAAUGUGUCACAUGGUAUAUACACUGAGCUAUUUGAAUAACUACAUAAAGACAGUUGAAGAGUAAUUUGUGUGGGUACUGCUUGUACAAAAUGGCACAUGUUGCUUUUGAUCAGAAAAUCAAACAUAAAGAAAUUAUACAUAAUAUAAUUUCUCAUAAAAGAAAAUUUAUAGAAUACCUACCAUAUGCAAAAUGUGGUGUUGGGAAAAUGGCAGCUCUGAGGGGCACAUAUGAGGAAGUAGCAUGGCAUUAUGGGAAGAUCAUAGCAUCAGGAGUCGGGACACUUGAAAAUGUGUUCAUCCUGGUUUUCCACCAACUCAGUGGCUGCCCUUGGGCAAGUGACUUCGAUUCUAGACCUACGCUUGAUAUCUGUCAUAUUAAAGAAGUUAAGGCCUCUGAAAGGGAUGGAGUUGUGCUCUCCUAUGCCAUGGAGCAUAACCAGAGUUGACAAAUGGGAUUUGGGAGAUGCCAGUUUGCCUCACGGUGGAUAACCUCCUAUCUCAGUGAGGUCCAUUACUGAAGCCACUAGCCUCAUAUGGCUAUUGAGCACUCAAACUAGGACUAGUCUAAAUCGCGAUUUGCUCUCAGUGUAAGUUACAUACCAGAUUUUGAAGACUUCAUAUGAAAAAUAGAAUGUAAAAUAUCCCAUCAGUAAUUUUCAUAUUAAUUUCAUGUUACAAAAGAUAAGUUUUGGAUGCACUGGGCUAUGUUAAAGUAUUAUUAAAUUAAUUUCAUCGGUAUUUUUAAAAAAUACGUGGCUACUAGAGAGCUUAAAAUUACAUUAGAUGGCUCACCUUAUAUUUCUUUUAGACAGUGCUGUUCUAGCUAACAGAGUUUCCAACAAAAGAACAGUAACUUGAAGAAGAACAUAAAUUUACUUUUAAUUUUACUUUUUGAGGUUUGCAAGCAGAACCCGGGUCACAGUUUUGAGAAGACAGCCUCACAGAAGACUGCGUGUGCUAUGCAGCUGGGCUAUACUGGGUUCUCCAUCUGCACUUGGAUCUUCAAAGAUCAUUGUUUGGAUGACCAUGCAGGCGCAGAGAACUGAGACAGUGAUGUUAGGAAGCUGGUGAAAACGCUCCCUAUUUAUUUCUGCCUGCUUGUCUGUGACCAGUGUUUCACAAAAGGAGUGAGAAAUUAGUAACCACAUGCUGGGUAAGAUGUUCACGAGAAGGUCAGGAAGCUUGUUUGUCAACCUUAAUUGACAACUGAUGUUUAAAAGGCGAAGCAUCAUUCUCGUAAUUUAAUGGGAGAAAUUGCUAUUUAAUGCCAGAGGGGGAAGAGCUACCAUAUGCAAAAGCCUGUGGAAAUGAGACAUACGGACAAAAUAAUCCCCUUUUUGUUUUAGGAAAACGUAAAGUGGUGCCCCAGGGAUUGUUGGCAAAUAUUAUCAUCUUUGAAAGCUACUACUUAACACAAAUUCCGGGAAACCAGAGGCUUCUGGGUAACGUGAAUCACAAGGAAAGAAUGCCCCGUUUUGUGGCUGAAACUUUUUAAUGGAAUACUGGUUGAUCUUAGCGAAGAAGGCCAGGGGUCAGGGUCAGUUUGGGAGAAUUUUCUGCCUGUUUCUGUAGAGGCCCCUACAUAAAACACUUCUUUCUCGGCCUGAUUGAAAUGUUUCAUGUGAUCACCUACCCGUGGGAGCCACUCACAUCUCCAGAGAUAUGCUUCCUCCUUUUUCCCUAUGUUGCCUAACUUGAGAUAGAGCUUAAUAGGGCUCUACUCAUUCUUUAAAUGAAAAUUUAUUUAUUAAGCACUGGUUGCCUCCAUGCCUCCUGUCUUUGAUGAUCUUGAUUUAGAGAUGGUGUAUCUGAGACAGGAUCCCCUUAGCCAAACAGAAUCACUCUACAUUUUAAACUGGAGGGCAUUUACUACAGGGAAUUGGUUACCUGAUGAGGGGGAAACCGAGAUGCCAAAGUGGGUGGUAAGGCCACCCAGGGGUUAUCGUAAGAGCAGGCAACUGCUUCGGCCCCAGGGCUGCAGAGGGCCGGGGGGAGUUGGUGGUGGGGGGGUUGUUGUGGGGUGUCCAGGAGCAUCACAGAAAGCUGAGAGGAGGGGAGAGAUAUCCUGACUCCUUUGGGUUUCUAGCUUUCUAAUCUUUCACUGGUGUCUUCACAGGCCAAACCCAUCCAGAACUGGAGGAAAGGGAGGAAGAAGUUCCUUGUAAUACAGAGUACAGCACUAGGACAGAGAUGGGUGUGGCUGCGUGUCCUUAUUCCAAUCUAAGCAAUGUGUGCAGAAGUGAAUCGUGCUUCAUUUUGGUGAGAUGGGGCCUUUGGGACCUACCCUGUGCUGGGCCUUAUGCUUUUCCUCUUCCUGGCCGACUGGGUUGAGACCUUGGAAACCAAGUCAGGAAGAUGCUGGAGCUGCCAUCAGCACGGGCCUCCCUACUGUCUGGAAACAUACCCUGGACCAUAUGUGAGCCAGCAAUAAAUAUUUCUUAAUGUGAGCCCUUGUGUAUAUGAAUCUAUCAGCAUAGCUCAGCUACCCUAAUCAUAAUCUUAGUGACAUAAGAGGUUGGUGUAAGUAAAUGAAAGUUUCAGCUGGGGCCAUAGGAGUGAGGAUCGAGAAGCAGGAGGAGAGGGAGUAAAUGGCUAUUUAGAAGAAAAAACGUGCUGGAAAGUGGUUGGCUUCGUGGGUGAGAGCGGUCCAGCAUGACUCCUGAUUCCUGCCUUGGGUGACUGGUCAGAUGAUGGUAACAUUCCAUGAUGGAACCAGAAGAGGAGCAGGAUGUUUGGUGUUAGGGGUAUGGAUCUGACUUAGUGAAGGUCUGGGAUUUAGACAUUUGGGAGACGAUAAACUUAUGAAGGUAUGAAAUGAUUCAUUUAAGCAUAGAGGUAGAGUGUAGAGAACAGGAUAGAUAAUGGACUUCGAUGAAGCAUCUAUCUAUCUAUCUAUCUAUCUAUUUACUGUUGGCCUUCAAAUAUUUUGAUCAUGAAAUUUCAAACAUAUAAAACUGAGAGAAUGGUGUCAUGAACUCUGCACAACCAUCAUCAUGCUUCAGCGAUUUCAUGUUCAUUAGCUUUCUAUUGCAUAGAACAAAUCACCCCAAAACUUAGCAACUGAACACAGUAAAUAUUUAUUAUUGCAUACCAUUUUGGUGGGUCAUACAUCCAGGAACGCCUUAGCUGUGUGGAUCUGGAACUGUGGUCAUCAGGAGGCUUGACUGGGGCUUGGAGAUCUGCUUCCAAGGUGAUUCACUCACAUGCUUGGCAAAUUAGUGCCAGCCAUUGGCAGGACGUCUGAUUCAAGGGUCUUCAUGAUGUGCCUGCUGGCUUCUCCCAAAGUGAGUCACCUUUAGAGACAGCAAGGCAGAAGAUGUAUGUGACCUAUCCUUGGCAGUCAGACGCCUUCACUUCCACAGUGUCUUGUGGCUACACAGGUCAACUCUGUUCACUGUGGGAGAAGAUCACACAAGAGCAUGAAUACUAAGAGGUGGAGGUCAUUGGGGUCAUCUUGGAAGCUGGUGACCCUAUCACUCCCAGCCAGUCUUAUUUCCUCUAUACCCUCAACUCACGGCCCCUUGCCUACAUUGUUUUGAAAGAAAUCCUCAAUAUUGUACCAUUUUAUUAUUAAGCAUUUCAAUAGGUAUCUGAAAAGUUAACAGUAUUUUUUUUUGAUAGAAUCCAAUAUCUGGUCAGUAUCAAAAUUUCCCCAUUUUGUAUAUUUCUCCAUAAAUGUACAUACCUAUACAUAUAUUUAUUUGUUAUAUUAUUUGUUUAUUUGAGUCAUGUUCCUACUAAGGUGUAUAUAUUGCAAUUAGUUAAUAUAACCAUUAGGUCUCCACCUGUGGGUUCAUCCUUUUUUUUUUUUUUAAAGGUUUUACAUUUAUUUGUUGAGGUAGUUUGUUUUGUUCCACAGUCUAUUUUUUGAUGAUUGCAGUAUUAUUUAACGUGUCUCAUCCUCUCUGUAUUUCUCACAGAGACAUCAAUAUUUAAAGUGUCAUCAGAGAAAGAGAGCUUACAAAUAGAUACUUUUGCUAGUGUUAAGAUCGGUAUUCGGCCCAAACCAGGACACUACAACAGAAUGAAAUUCUGGUAUAUAAGAAUACAUUUGAAUUCUUAUUUUUAACUAUAAUAAUUAUUACUCUUUUGUUGUUUAAAAACCAAGCAGUCAGAUUGGAGCACUUCGAGUGGAGUAGAAGCCAUCAGCCCUCGGUGCCGUCUCUUCCUGGACUCUGGCCAAGUGUGUGCACAUUUGCAAUACUGAAUUGUUGUUCACUUUCAGUUGAGGCCAGUAGAGGAACCAGAUAUUCUGGGGAGCCCUACUGUUCUCUGAUACUUUUUUCUUUACUUUCUUUCUGUUCUGUCUUGUGUGUGCACCAAGAUAACUGACGGCGGCAGUGUCCAGAUUUUGGAAAGCUUUACUUGUGAAACUUGGAGGCGGUCAAGGUGUCAUUGUCCUUUUAAUUUGUCCUUACAAGGCAUGCAAGGGUUCCCAAGUAAGACUUUUUCUUGAAAGACUUACUGCCUAAUGUGAUUAAGCAACUGCACGUGAAGUAUAGCUCUUAAAAGUGAUUUUAUUUAUUUUCACGAAUGCUAGCCUACCAAUUAGUCUCACAAAGCCUGAAAUGGUGACACGUUAUCUUUACUAUUUUGACCUGUAUUAUUAAUUGAAAUUGUAUUUAAAACAUUAUAAACAUUAAAAAAAAUUUAAUGUUUAUUUUUGAAGGAGAGAGAGACAGAGCACGAGUUGGGGAGGGGCAGAGAGAGAGGGAGACACAGAAUCUGAAGCGGGCUCCAGGCUCUGAGCUGUCAGCACAGAGCCCGACGCGGGGCUUGAACCCACAAACCGUGUGAUCAUGACCUGAGCCGAAGUCAGACGCUUACCAUCUGAGCCACCCAGACUCCCCUGAAAGUGAAUAUUUUGAUAUUAACAAUAAAUCUGAAUGACAUGCUCUUUCUGUAUUACGGUGAUGUGAUCAGCUAUGAAGGAAACCUGUGCCAUCACACGAUUAUUGGUGGGCACAAGUUCAGGGAUGCCAGAAAUGACAAUGAAGUUGGUAUUUAGUUAUUUGGUCUUUCAGAAGCUGAAGCAGAAUCCUCAGGUAAAAGGACAUUCAAAGAGAAUGUCCAGAUAAGCAGAAGCGGGAGAGAGUACUUAAUUCAGCAAAUAUUUGUUUAGAGCCUAUUGUGGACCAGGUACUAUUGUUUUAGGAUACACUUGGGACAUGUUUGUGAAAACCAGACAGGGCUCUGUCUGUGUGGAGCAUACACAUUCUCAAGGCCAAUGGCAAAAAGGACUGGAAAAUGUCCACUGAGCUUGACAAGGAAAGCGUUAAGCUGGUAGGCUUGUGAGAACAGCUCUAAAGGGCUUGCUGGAGUGGAGGCCCCUGUCUCCACAGGCUAAGUGGUGAGUGGAGGAGAGGGAGUAUAGAUUCGUGUGUGUGAUUCGUUCAGAAGUUCAGCUGUCAAGGGAUGGAGGAAGGGCUGCAUAGAGCAAAGGAUUUUUCUUGUAAGCUAAGAAAGGCUGAGCACGUUAAGCUGAUGGUGCAAAUGAGUGUCAACAUCUGGAAGAGCAAGGAGAGAUAUUAAGAGUUCAAUGGUCAGGGACAAGAUGAGGUAGACCUAGAAAGUUCUUU